GGAAGAGUGAGAGAACGCCCAACGCGUAUCGCCGAAACAAUCCGGCUUCCUCAGGGGUAAGGAGCUGUGUGUUGGGGUAUCACUUUAUAUAGGAUGAUAAAUAGGGCAAAAUUACAUUCACCUGUGCAGCAGAACGCAGUAAAAAGUGG